GCUUGUCUCAAAGAUUAAGCCAUGCAUGUCUAAGUAUAAACUAAUUUAUACGGUGAAACUGCGAAUGGCUCAUUAAAUCAGUUAUAGUUUAUUUGAUGGUUGAUUACUACGUGGAUAACCGUGGUAAUUCUAGAGCUAAUACAUGCCUACAAGCCCGACUUCUGGAAGGGCUGUAUUUAUUAGAUAACAAAUCAAUAUUCCCCGUGUCUAUUGUGAUGACUCAUAGUAACUGAUCGAAUCGCAUGGUCCUUGACCGCGAUACAUCAUUCAAGUUUCUGCCCCAUCAGCUUUCGAUGGUAGUGUAUUGGACUACCAUGGCUUUAACGGGUAACGGAGGAUUAGGGUUCGAUUCCGGAGAGGGAGCCUGAGAAACGGCUACCACAUCUAAGGAAGGCAGCAGG
rnacentral:rRNA from 1 species